AUUGAACGCUGGCGGCAUGCUUUACACAUGCAAGUCGAACGGCAGCGCGGGCUUCGGCCUGGCGGCGAGUGGCGAACGGGUGAGUAAUACAUCGGAACGUGCCCAGUAGUGGGGGAUAGCUCGGCGAAAGCCGGAUUAAUACCGCAUACGACCUGAGGGUGAAAGCGGGGGAUCUUCGGACCUCGCGCUAUUGGAGCGGCCGAUGGCAGAUUAGCUAGUUGGUGGGGUAAAGGCCUACCAAGGCGACGAUCUGUAGCUGGUCUGAGAGGACGACCAGCCACACUGGGACUGAGACACGGCCCAGACUCCUACGGGAGGCAGCAGUGGGGAAUUUUGGACAAUGGGCGAAAGCCUGAUCCAGCAAUGCCGCGUGUGUGAUGAAGGCCUUCGGGUUGUAAAGCACUCUUGGCGGGAACGAAAAGGACUGUGCCAAUACCACGGUUCGAUGACGGUACCCGCAGAAUAAGCACCGGCUAACUACG
rnacentral:rRNA from 1 species